rnacentral:rRNA from 1 species
AGUGAACGCUGGCGGUAGGCCUAACACAUGCAAGUCGAACGGCAGCACAGUAAGAGCUUGCUCUUACGGGUGGCGAGUGGCGGACGGGUGAGGAAUACAUCGGAAUCUACUUUUUCGUGGGGGAUAACGUAGGGAAACUUACGCUAAUACCGCAUACGACCUACGGGUGAAAGCAGGGGAUCUUCGGACCUUGCGCGAUUGAAUGAGCCGAUGUCGGAUUAGCUAGUUGGCGGGGUAAAGGCCCACCAAGGCGACGAUCCGUAGCUGGUCUGAGAGGAUGAUCAGCCACACUGGAAGUGAGACACGGUCCAGACUCCUACGGGAGGCAGCAGUGGGGAAUAUUGGACAAGGGGCGCAAGCCUGAUCCAGCCAUACCGCGUGGGUGAAGAAGGCCUUCGGGUUGUAAAGCCCUUUUGUUGGGAAAGAAAAGCAGCAGGUUAAUACCCCGCUGUUCUGACGGUACCCAAAGAAUAAGCACCGGCUAACUUCGUG